GACGAACGCUGGCGGCGUGCCUAAUACAUGCAAGUCGAACGCACUCUCGUUUAGAUUGAAGGAGCUUGCUCCUGAUUGAUAAACAUUUGAGUGAGUGGCGGACGGGUGAGUAACACGUGGGUAACCUGCCCUAAAGUGGGGGAUAACAUUUGGAAACAGAUGCUAAUACCGCAUAAAACCUAACACCGCAUGGUGUAGGGUUGAAAGAUGGUUUCGGCUAUCACUUUAGGAUGGACCCGCGGUGCAUUAGUUAGUUGGUGAGGUAAAGGCUCACCAAGACCGUGAUGCAUAGCCGACCUGAGAGGGUAAUCGGCCACACUGGGACUGAGACACGGCCCAGACUCCUACGGGAGGCAGCAGUAGGGAAUCUUCCACAAUGGACGAAAGUCGGAUGGAGCAACGCCGCGUGAGUGAAGAAGGUUUUCGGAUCGUAAAACUCUGUUGUUGGAGAAGAAUGUAUCUGAUAGUAACUGAUCAGGUAGUGACGGUAUCCAACCAGAAAGCCACGGCUAA
rnacentral:rRNA from 1 species